CUGAUGCAGCCAUGCCGCGUGURUGAAGAAGGGCUUCGGGUUGUAAAGUACUUUCAGUUGUGAGGAAGGGGGUGUUGUUAAUAGCAUCAUCUCUUGACGUUAGCAACAGAAGAAGCACCGGCUAACUCCGUGCCAGCAGCCGCGGUAA
rnacentral:rRNA from 1 species